rnacentral:rRNA from 1 species
GUGAGGAAUAUUGGACAAUGGGCGCAAGCCUGAUCCAGCCAUACCGCGUGGGUGAAGAAGGCCUUCGGGUUGUAAAGCCCUUUUGUUGGGAAAGAAAUCCUGUCGGUUAAUACCUGGCGGGGAUGACGGUACCCAAAGAAUAAGCACCGGCUAACUUCGUGCCAGCAGCCGCGGUAAUACGAAGGGUGCAAGCGUUACUCGGAAUUACUGGGCGUAAAGCGUGCGUAGGUGGUGGUUUAAGUCCGUUGUGAAAGCCCUGGGCUCAACCUGGGAAUUGCAGUGGAUACUGGAUCACUAGAGUGUGGUAGAGGGAUGCGGAAUUUCUGGUGUAGCAGUGAAAUGCGUAGAGAUCAGAAGGAACAUCCGUGGCGAAGGCGGCAUCCUGGGCCAACACUGACACUGAGGCACGAAAGCGUGGGGAGCAAACAGGAUUAGAAACCCCAGUAGUCC